rnacentral:rRNA from 1 species
GGAGCGGNAGAGAGAAGCUUGCUUCUCUUGAGAGCGGCGGACGGGUGAGUAAUGCCUAGGAAUCUGCCUGGUAGUGGGGGAUAACGUUCGGAAACGGGAAGCUANNNNCCGGAUACGUCCUACGGGAGAAAGCAGGGGACCUUCGGGCCUUGCGCUAUCAGAUGAGCCUAGGUCGGAUUAGCUAGUUGGUGAGGUAAUGGCUCACCAAGGCGACGAUCCGUAACUGGUCUGAGAGGAUGAUCAGUCACACUGGAACUGAGACACGGUCCAGACUCCUACGGGAGGCAGCAGUGGGGAAUAUUGGACAAUGGGCGAAAGCCUGAUCCAGCCAUGCCGCGUGUGUGAAGAAGGUCUUCGGAUUGUAAAGCACUUUAAGUUGGGAGGAAGGGCAGUUACCUAAUACGUGAUUGUUUUGACGUUACCGACAGAAUAAGCACCGGCUAACUCUGUGCCAGCAGCCGCGGUAAUACAGAGGGUGCAAGCGUUAAUCGGAAUUACUGGGCGUAAAGCGCGCGUAGGUGGUUAGUUAAGUUGGAUGUGAAAUCCCCGGGCUCAACCUGGGAACUGCAUUCAAAACUGACUGACUAGAGUAUGGUAGAGGGUGGUGGAAUUUCCUGUGUAGCGGUGAAAUGCGUAGAUAUAGGAAGGAACACCAGUGGCGAAGGCGACCACCUGGACUGAUACUGACACUGAGGUGCGAAA